AAACUAACAAGGAUUCCCCUAGUAGCGGCGAGCGAAGCGGGAAGAGCUCAAAUUUAUAAUCUGGCACUUUCAGUGUCCGAAGUUGUAAUCUCUAGAAGUGUUUUCCGCGUUGGACCGCACACAAGUCUGUUGGAAUACAGCGGCACAGUGGUGACACCCCCGUACACGGUGCGGACGCCCAGCGCUUUGUGAUACACUUUCGAAGAGUCGAGUUGUUUGGGAAUGCAGCUCAAAUUGGGUGGUAAAUUCCAUCUAAAGCUAAAUAUUGGCGAGAGACCGAUAGCGAACAAGUACCGUGAGGGAAAGAUGAAAAGCACUUUGGAAAGAGAGUUAACAGUACGUGAAAUUGUUGGAAGGGAAACGCUUGAAGUCAGACUUGCUUGCCGGAGCUUGCUUCGGUUUGCAGGCCAGCAUCAGUUUUCCGGGGUGGAUAAUGGCG
rnacentral:rRNA from 1 species